rnacentral:misc_RNA from 1 species
GAAAUGCGAUAAGUAAUGUGAAUUGCAGAAUUCCGUGAAUCAUCGAAUCUUUGAACGCACAUUGCGCCCCCUGGUAUUCCGGGGGGCAUGCCUGUUCGAGCGUCAUUUCAACCCUCAAGCACUGCUUGGUGUUGGGCCAUGCCGGGUUUCCGGGCAGGCUCCAAAGUCAGUGGCGGCGCCGCUCUAGGCUCCACGCGCAGUAAUUUUUCUCGCGUCAGGAGGCCCGGGCGGCUUGCUUGCCAGUCGAACCCCCCAAUUUUCUCAGGUUGACCUCGGAUCAGGUAGGGAUACCCGCUGAACUUAA